UAACUAUAUAGGCAAACCUAUCGAAAGGUAGGGACGCAAAGCCAUGGGUCUAACAAUAUUAAUUCAUGACUGCCAGGUUGCAUUU
rnacentral:ncRNA from 1 species